rnacentral:rRNA from 1 species
GUCGGACGGUAGCACAGAGGAGCUUGCUCCUCGGGUGACGAGUGGCGGACGGGUGAGUAAUGUCUGGGAAACUGCCCGAUGGAGGGGGAUAACUACUGGAAACGGUAGCUAAUACCGCAUAACGUCGCAAGACCAAAGUGGGGGACCUUCGGGCCUCACACCAUCGGAUGUGCCCAGAUGGGAUUAGCUUGUAGGCGGGGUAACGGCCCACCUAGGCGACGAUCCCUAGCUGGUCUGAGAGGAUGACCAGCCACACUGGAACUGAGACACGGUCCAGACUCCUACGGGAGGCAGCAGUGGGGAAUAUUGCACAAUGGGCGCAAGCCUGAUGCAGCCAUGCCGCGUGUAUGAAGAAGGCCUUCGGGUUGUAAAGUACUUUCAGCGGGGAGGAAGGUGNUGAGGUUAAUAACCUCAGCAAUUGACGUUACCCGCAGAAGAAGCACCGGCUAACUCCGUGCCAGCAGCCGCGGUAAUACGGAGGGUGCAAGCGUUAAUCGGAAUUACUGGGCGUAAAGCGCACGCAGGCGGUCUGUUAAGUCAGAUGUGAAAUCCCCGGGCUUAACCUGGGAACUGCAUUUGAAACUGGCAGGCUUGAGUCUCGUAGAGGGGGGUAGAAUUCC